CAACAAGGUGCUGUGAGAAACAUAGAGUGAGACACAGAGCACAAUUUCUCUCAAACAAAUGAGAAAAUAAAUCCUCUAUUCCAAGAUGCCUGCUUGUCAAGGACAUUGACUGAACUCUGUGGAGCAGGGGAAAGGAGCAUUGGAAUGGAAAAUAGAAUUAAAGGAAAGACCAGGCAAUUACACAAGAGAAGAUCUAGUUUUUUUUUUUUUGGUACUGGGGAUCGAACUCGGGACCUUGCACUUGCAAGGCAGGCAGUGGAACCACUGAGCUAAAUCCCCAGCCCGACAAGAGAAGGUCUUGCACCAGCACAUGUUCACAGUAUGUCUAGAGCUGAGGACCUGAGGAAUUGGGCUGAGCUUUCAUCACCGAGGUCCCCCAAACAAGGCCUCCUCUGAGUGACACUUGGACUUCUGACUUGGGGUGCAAUCCCCUCACUCUCCACAGAGCAUCCUGGGAUGUACAGGCCUCCUCCACUUACUGGGCUCAGGCAAAGCCAGCCUUCAAGGAGUGCCUUAUGUGGACCUGGUAUCCAAGGAAUGAAUGAACUGUUCUUGCUUGUAGCUGACUGGAGUCUCUCCUGGUACAUUGCAAUUCAGUUCCCAUCCUAUCCCCAAACAGCUGCUCACAUACCACCUUUACAGCAGACAGAGAAGACAUCAUCUUCCCAUUUUAGAGAUGGAAGAACAGAGAGACCCAGAUAAGCCUUAAAUGAUGAGUUGUGCUGCUAUAAACAUGAGUAUGUAUGGAUCACUGUAAUAUGAUGUCCUUAACUCUUCUAAGGAGAUAUAUAGAAGGG
rnacentral:lncRNA from 1 species